rnacentral:rRNA from 1 species
UGGCUCAGAUUGAACGCUGGCGGCGUGCUUAACACAUGCAAGUCGCGCGUGAAAGGACUUCGGUCCGAGUAAAGCGGCGCACGGGUGAGUAACGCGUGGAUGAUCUACCCAUGAGUUAGGAAUAACGGCUGGAAACGGUCGCUAAUACCAAAUACGCUCCGAUUUCAACUUCGGGGGAAAGGUGGCCUCUGCUUGCAAGCUACUGCUCAUGGAUGAGUCCGCGUCCCAUUAGCUAGUUGGUGGGGUAACGGCCCACCAAGGCGACGAUGGGUAGCCGGUCUGAGAGGAUGACCGGCCACACUGGGACUGGAACACGGCCCAGACUCCUACGGGAGGCAGCAGUGGGGAAUAUUGCGCAAUGGGCGAAAGCCUGACGCAGCGACGCCGCGUGAGGGAUGAAGGUCCUCGGAUCGUAGACCUCUGUCAGGAGGGAAGAACCGCCACGGUGCUAAUCAGCCGUGGUCUGACGGUACCUCCAAAGGAAGCACCGGCUAACUCCGUGCCAGCCGCCGC